UACGUAGGGCGCAAGCGUUGUCCGGAAUUAUUGGGUGUAAAGAGCUCGUAGGCGGCUUGUCACGUCGGAUGUGAAAGCCCGGGGCUUAACUCCGGGUCUGCAUUCGAUACGGGCUGGCUAGAGUGUGGUAGGGGAGAUCGGAAUUCCUGGUGUAGCGGUGAAAUGCGCAGAUAUCAGGAGGAACACCGGUGGCGAAGGCGGAUCUCUGGGCCAUUACUGACGCUGAGGAGCGAAAGCGUGGGGAGCGAACAGG
rnacentral:rRNA from 1 species